rnacentral:rRNA from 1 species
GUACUCCUACGGGGAGGCAGCAGUGGGGAAUAUUGCACAAUGGGGGGAAAACCCUGAUGCAGCCAUGCCGCGUGUGUGAAGAAGGCCUUCGGGGUUGUAAAGCACUUUCAGUAGGGAGGAAGGUAGUGUAGUUAACACCUGCAUUUAUUUGACGUUACCUACAGAAGAAGCACCGGCUAACUCCGUGCCAGCAGCCGCGGUAAUACGGAGGGUGCGAGCGUUAAUCGGAAUUACUGGGCGUAAAGCGCAUGCAGGCGGCCUGUUAAGUCAGAUGUGAAAGCCCGGGGCUUAACCUCGGAAUUGCAUUUGAAACUGGCAGGCUAGAGUCUUGUAGAGGGGGGUAGGAAUUUCAGGUGUAGCGGUGAAAUGCGUAGAGAUCUGAAGGAAUACCAGUGGCGAAGGCGGCCCCCUCGGACAAAGACUGACGCUCAGAUGCGAAAGCGUGGGGAGCAAACAGGAUUAGAUACCCUGGUAG